UACGGGAGGCAGCAGUGAGGAAUAUUGGUCAAUGGGCGCGAGCCUGAACCAGCCAAGUAGCGUGCAGGAUGACGGCCCUAUGGGUUGUAAACUGCUUUUAUACAGGGAUAAAGUAGGGAACGUGUUCCCUUUUGCAGGUACUGUAUGAAUAAGGACUGGCUAAUUCCGUGCCAGCAGCCGCGGUAAU
rnacentral:rRNA from 1 species